GUAUAAUUAGUUUAAAUAAAACAGUGGUUUGUGGAACCAUAAAUAGUAAAAUUUUUUU
rnacentral:tRNA from 1 species